CAGUCGCCGCGGUAAUACAGAGGGUGCGAGCGUUAAUCGGAUUUACUGGGCGUAAAGCGUGCGUAGGCGGCUUCUUAAGUCGGAUGUGAAAUCCCUGAGCUUAACUUAGGAAUUGCAUUCGAUACUGGGAAGCUAGAGUAUGGGAGAGGAUGGUAGAAUUCCAGGUGUAGCGGUGAAAUGCGUAGAGAUCUGGAGGAAUACCGAUGGCGAAGGCAGCCAUCUGGCCUAAUACUGACGCUGAGGUACGAAAGCAUGGGGAGCAAACAGGAUUAGAUACCCGCGUAGUCCCUGUCUCUUAUAU
rnacentral:rRNA from 1 species